UACGGAGGGGGCUAGCGUUGUUCGGAAUUACUGGGCGUAAAGCGCACGUAGGCGGAUCAGCCAGUCAGGGGUGAAAUCCCGGGGCUCAACCCCGGAACUGCCUUUGAUACUGCUGGUCUGGAGUUCGGGAGAGGCGAGUGGAAUUCCGAGUGUAGAGGUGAAAUUCGUAGAUAUUCGGAAGAACACCAGUGGCGAAGGCGCUCACUGGCCCGUUACCGACGCUCAGGCGCGACAGCGUGGGGAGCAAACAGGG
rnacentral:rRNA from 1 species